rnacentral:rRNA from 1 species
UACGAAGGGGGCUAGCGUUGCUCGGAAUUACUGGGCGUAAAGCGCACGUAGGCGGCUUUCUAAGUCGGGGGUGAAAUCCUGGAGCUCAACUCCAGAACUGCCUUCGAUACUGGCGAUCUCGAGUCCGGAAGAGGUGAGUGGAACUCCUAGUGUAGAGGUGGAAUUCGUAGAUAUUAGGAAGAACACCAGUGGCGAAGGCGACUCACUGGUCCGGUACUGACGCUGAGGUGCGAAAGCGUGGGGAGCAAACAGG